rnacentral:rRNA from 1 species
CCUACGGGUGGCAGCAGUGAGGAAUAUUGGUCAAUGGGAGAGAUCCUGAACCAGCCAAGCCGCGUGAGGGAAGACGGCCCUAUGGGUUGUAAACCUCUUUUGUCGGAGAACAAAACCCGGGACGUGUCCCGGACUGCGUGUAUCCGAAGAAAAAGCAUCGGCUAACUCCGUGCCAGCAGCCGCGGUAAUACGGGGGAUGCGAGCGUUAUCCGGAUUUGUUGGGGUUAAAGGGCGCGUAGGGGGUCCGUUAAGUCAGCGGUAAAAUUGCGGGGCUCAACCCCGUCGAGCCGUUGAUACUGGCAGACUAGAGUUGGCGAGAGGGACGCGGAAUGCGCGGUGUAGCGGUGAAAUGCGUAGAUAUCGCGAAGAACACCGAUUGCGAAGGCAGCGUACCGGCGCCAGACUGACGCUGAGGCACGAAAGCGUGGGGAGCGAACAGGAUUAGAUACCCGUGUAGUC